AGUGAACGCUGGCGGUAGGCCUAACACAUGCAAGUCGAACGGCAGCACAGUAAGAGCUUGCUCUUACGGGUGGCGAGUGGCGGACGGGUGAGGAAUACAUCGGAAUCUACUUUUUCGUGGGGGAUAACGUAGGGAAACUUACGCUAAUACCGCAUACGACCUACGGGUGAAAGCAGGGGAUCUUCGGACCUUGCGCGAUUGAAUGAGCCGAUGUCGGAUUAGCUAGUUGGCGGGGUAAAGGCCCACCAAGGCGGCGAUCCGUAGCUGGUGUGAGAGGAUGAACACGCACACUGGAACUGAGACACGGUCCUGACUCCGACGGGAGGCAGCAGUGGGGAAUAGUGGACAAUGGGCGCAAGCCUGAUCCAGCCAUACCGCGUGGGUGCAGAAGGCCUUCGGGUUGUAAAGCCCUUUUGUUGGGAAAGAAAAGCAGCAGGUUGAUACCCCGCUGUUCUGACGGUACCCAAAGAAUAAGCACCGGCUAACUUCGUG
rnacentral:rRNA from 1 species